GACGGAGGAUGCAAGCGUUAUCCGGAAUUAUUGGGCGUAAAGCGUCCGCAGGUGGCUGUUCAAGUCUGCUGUCAAAGCGCAGAGCUUAACUCUGUACAGGCGGUGGAAACUGAAGAGCUAGAGUAUGGUAGGGGUAGAGGGAAUUCCCGGUGUAGCGGUGAAAUGCGUAGAUAUCGGGAAGAACACCAGUGGCGAAAGCGCUCUACUGGGCCAUAACUGACACUGAGACGCGAAGGCGCGGGGAGCGAACGGG
rnacentral:rRNA from 1 species